AUAUACAGAUAAAAAUACAUAAAUAACUAAAAUCAUGAACGAAUAUACAAAUAUACCAAAUCGGGGCUAUAAUCGAAUUGUGAGAUACCUUGAUUACUAGAAAUUAGGGAUCGUGAUAUCGUGGCUUCGAGUUGAGAGAGAUUUUCAGAGCUUCGGCCUUCGAUUGCGGGUCAAACAUAGAGUGGUGGGUUGUAAAUCGUGAGUUGCGGCCUUCAAUUUAGGGAUUCGUUCACCGCCUUGAAUCAUCGCCUUAUCCUCCAUUUUCCAGAUUUUCGAAUUAAAGAUAAACAAGAAACGCGAUGUCGCGAAUAGGUUAGGUUACUCUGACUUAGG
rnacentral:lncRNA from 1 species